GACGAACGCUGGCGGCGUGCUUAACACAUGCAAGUCGAACGUAAAGUCCCUGCUUUUGUGGUGUGCUCGAUUGGCGAACGGGUGAGUAACACGUGAGUAACCUGCCCUUGCCUUUGGGAUAACUUCAGGAAACUGGGGCUAAUAUCGUAUAGGAUCUCCUGCUGCAUGGUUAGGGUUGGAAAGUUUAGGCUGUUGGGAAUGGAAUCGCGCCUUAUCAGCUUGUUGGUUGGUUAGUGGCUUACCAAGGCUUUGGAGGGUAGCCGGCCUGAGAGGGUGACCAGCGACAUUGAGAAUGAGAUACGGCCCAGACUCCUAAGGGAGGCAGCAGUGGGGAAUAUUGCACAAUGGACGGAAGCCUGAUGCAGCAACGCCGCGUGCGGGAUGACGGCCUUCGGGUUGUAAACCGCUUUCGCCUGUGACGAAGCGUGAGUGACGGUAAUGGGUAAAGAAGCACCGGCUAACUACGUG
rnacentral:rRNA from 1 species